UUUCCUGUACAGGUUGGGAGAGGUAGCAAUGCUCGGAGUUCAUGUGGUAUUGCACUUGUCCCGGCCUGUGGAGGAAGA
rnacentral:pre_miRNA from 13 species